AAAUCUAAACGACUCUCGGCAACGGAUAUCUCGGCUCUCGCAUCGAUGAAGAACGUAGCGAAAUGCGAUACUUGGUGUGAAUUGCAGAAUCCCGUGAACCAUCGAGUCUUUGAACGCAAGUUGCGCCCGAAGCCUUGGCUGAGGGCACGCCUGCCUGGGU
rnacentral:rRNA from 1 species